rnacentral:sRNA from 1 species
GAGUCUAUAAAGCAUCAACUCAAAGUGACAAGAAGUGGACACAUAUUCUAAGGGAGCUCCCCAAGACAAAAGGAAGAUGGAGGAAAUGGUCUCUGAAGGGAAGUGGGGAAAGUAAGAAGUAAUUUGGACUCUUCUAGAGGAGAGCAGGCACAAACUAAGCCAAGAAAAG